GACGAACGCUGGCGGCGUGCUUAACACAUGCAAGUCGAACGAAGUGGCGAACGGGUGAGUAACGCGUAAUCAACCUGCCCUUCAGAGGGGGACAACAGUUGGAAACGACUGCUAAUCCCCCAUACUGAAGUAGGGGCUUGCGUCUGAUUGGCUAGUUGGCGGGGUAACGGCCCACAAAGGCGAUGCUCAGUACCCGGUGUGAGAGGAUGACGGGCAAAAUUGGGCAGGAGAAAGGGCCAAAACUGCUACGGAGGCAGCAGUGGGGAAUCUUCCGCAAUGGAGGAAAGUCUGACGGAGCAACGCCGCGUGAGUGAUGACGGCCUUCGGGUUGUAAAGCUCUGUUAAUCGGGACGCGGUACCGGAAUAGAAAGCCACGGCUAACUACGUGCCAGCAGCCGCGGUAAUUC
rnacentral:rRNA from 1 species